rnacentral:sRNA from 1 species
UGAAAAAUAUUUCAAGUAUGCAGAAAAAAUAUUUAUUACAAAAUGGUAGCGCAUAUAUACUUUUAACUAUCAAACCAAGCUAAAAGCAUCGAUAUGCGUUUCUAUGUUUGCAAUAAAUAUUUUAAGCCUACUAGAAAAUACGUAUGAAUGUAUCCCAUGCUUCCAAUUCCCUAAAUUCAAAAAACGACUUACCCCAAAUCCUUUAUGCCUUCUUCUCUUAAAAUUUUAGUUUGUUUGGCAUUCAUCUUACUAUACAAUGUUGGUUUCCGAAAAAAGCCUUGCUGCUGAGAAAAAAAAUUCCAUACUCUCAAUAUUUUGCUCACUGCUCUUUCUCUUCGGCUGGUAUAAAAAGAUUUUAUUUUGCUUUUCUAUUCUGAAUAGAAACAAAAAUCCAUUGGUCUAAGCUGCGCACAAUUCCAACGAAAUGAAAUAAAUUUGGGAGCAAAAUCAAAAGAAGCUCAAAAAUAAAUGAAUGCACCAAAAGUAA